UACGUAGGUGGCAAGCGUUGUCCGGAUUUACUGGGCGUAAAGAGCGCGCAGGCGGUCGUUCAAGUCGCGUGUGAAAGCCCCCGGCUCAACUGGGGAGGGUCACGCGAUACUGAUCGACUCGAAGGCAGGAGAGGGUAGUGGAAUUCCCGGUGUAGUGGUGAAAUGCGUAGAUGUCGGGAGGAACGCCAGUGGCGAAGGCGAGUAGCUGGGGUGGUCUUGACGCUGAGGCGCGAAAGCUAGGGGAGCAAACGGG
rnacentral:rRNA from 1 species